UGGGUAACCUGCCCCGAUAACCGGGACAACCCGAGGAAACUCGGGCUAAUACCGGAUGUGCUCGCCGGACAUCAGUCCGGCGCGUAAAGGAAGCUUCGGCCUCCGUAUCGGGAGGGGCCCGCGGCCCAUUAGCUAGUUGGUGAGGUAACGGCUCACCAAGGCCGCGAUGGGUAGCUGGUCUGAGAGG
rnacentral:rRNA from 1 species